rnacentral:tRNA from 1 species
GGAGGUGUGGCCGAGUGGUUUAAGGCAGCGGUCUUGAAAACCGCCGGAGGGGAAACCCUUCCGUGAGUUCGAAUCUCACCGCCUCCGCCA